UGACUGAAGAAGCCAGAAUACCCAGAGGGCUGCAUAGGUCCACGCCAUGAUAGGAAGCAGGACCACACAUAUUUUUGAUUGGCUCCUGGCAUCUGUGGAAUUUGUUAACCUCGUUAUGCCAUCCAGGUGGGUGGAGCCAGUUGUGCAUCAGGCUUUCUGCUCUGUUGCUUGCAGCCACAAAUGCGUCAGACCCAGCACUCUUAGAAUCCAAGGGAUUGGCUCGUGGAGUGCGUCAUGGAGUUGAGCGGCUCGGCUACUGCUCUUCUCGCAGCUCCCAGGCUCAGGGCUCCUGAUCGAUUUAUCCCCGCCCCCUUUGCCAAGAUGGUCUCAUCCGAGAAGGCGGCUGUUGGCGGAAGAACAAGCUUCGCAUCCCACCUCUGCAAAAACUAUGCAAGGAAAAUGGUUCAGAGGGUUUUGGACAGAAUGCUGACAGGAUAUCAUGUCUGUCUGAGUCUACAUAUGGGAGGAUGUAGCUUCUCUGCCUGGCCUGCAACUGCAGCAUGCUCUGGAGAGGAAGGAUGCUCAGUCCAGGGGAGCAGGAGAAGAGGAUGGUGAGAAGCUGCAGAGGCCAGUGAGUACCGCUGGGCAAGGGUAAAUUUGCUGGGGUGUCACACUGGGAUAAAAGAGGACCUGGGAAG
rnacentral:lncRNA from 1 species